UACGUAGGGGGCUAGCGUUGUCCGGAUUUAUUGGGCGUAAAGCGUGCGUAGGCGGCUGCGCAAGUCGGGUGUGAAACCCCGGGGCUCAACCCCGGAACCUGCAUCCGAUACUGCGUGGCUAGAGGUAGGUAGGGGAGAUCGGAAUUCCUGGUGUAGCGGUGAAAUGCGCAGAUAUCAGGAAGAACACCCGUGGCUAAGGCGGCUCUCUAGUACGGUACUGACGCUGAGACGCGAAAGCGUGGGGAGCGAACAGG
rnacentral:rRNA from 1 species